UCGUUAUCACGAAAGGCAGAGGGGAUAGACCCGGUGAAGCCUUAGCAACCCUUUACCACACUUAAAGAAGGUGCUACAUUCUACUCAAUGAAACCAUUUUCAAAGGGGCAGAUAACCC
rnacentral:ncRNA from 2 species